GGCAGUUUCCAUGGCAACGCCUCCAUGCCUGCCGUAGCAGCUACGUGCUGCCUGGCAUGUGCACUCUGCCAGGUCCCUGGAGGGCACUGCUGUCUCUCACUUGCUCAGGGUUCAGGAGUUGUUAAUCCCGGAUUCAGAUAAUAAUAUCCAAAGGCAAUCAGGGGACAUUGAACCAGCUGGAGCUGAAGGCUCCUCUCUGUGGGCCUUGGAAGGAGGGGCCUCUGCAUUCCUCCGCCUGCCAUAGGCUGGGCCUGCAGCAAGUGCUCAACUACAGUGGGAAGAAUGGCUGAGUGAAGGAGAGACCCUCCCAGACUACAGUAAGUUCCUCUGCUGAUAGAGAUGCAAACAAAUAACAAAGAAGGAGGAGGAGAAUCAAUAUGGAUUGGUUCACAGGACCCACAGCAGAGGGACAGCUGGGUCUUUGAGUGAAGAGCUAAACAGUGGUGAUGUCUGAAUGGUCUUGAGUUUUCAGGAGCAUCUUUCAUUCUAAAGAAGCAACCCUUGAUGGGCUCCUGGACAGCUUCAGGGUGGAAGCCGGUCACCAAAAAGCCCAAGCCGUGAUUAGAAGCUUGGAACUUUCAGCCACACCCCACCCCUAUCCUCCAGGAAAGAAGAGGGGCUAGAGGUUGAAUUAAUAACCAUUCAUGCCUUCUUGAUUAAGCCUAAUAAAAGUCGCCAAAGUACAGGGUUCAGAGACCUGGGUUGGUGAACACAUCUAUGUGCCAGGAAGGUGGUGUGCCCUGACUCACUGGAGACAGAAGCUCCUGCAAUCAGACCCUUCCAGACCUCACCCUGUGUACCUCUUCAUUUGCCUGUUCAUCUGUAUUCAUUAUCAUAUCCUUUAUAAUAAGCCAAUAA
rnacentral:lncRNA from 1 species